CCACAUUGUUGGCAAACUAUCCUAAAGGGUAGGACGCAAAGCUUCCGGUCUGUCGACGUCAGUCUAUGAUAGCGGGGUUACCGUC
rfam:Photobacterium profundum SS9 chromosome 2